GACGGAUAUAAUACUCCUGUAGUGACAUGCUUGGUCAGUAACUUCAACCUCGUUCUAGUUAAGUAUUCAAGGGCAGAUGUGAUCAACACAGUUCAUAACUUACAUUAUAUGAAGGCAAAGCAUAUUUUCUUUGAAGGGGUAAAAUAUCACUCAAUAGUGGAAUCACUUGAAUUAUAUGAGUCAGUGCAAGAAAUUGAUAUGAAAAUAACGUGAUCUUUUAAACCCUCAAACUAGACUUCAGCAUAAGACCAUUUUGAAUGCUAUGGAAUAAAAUUGGAACUAUGUAAAUAUUGUUGAAUUGAUUUUUGGAGAAUCAAAUGGUCCUCGAAGGAAGGCUAAUGGAAUAGAAAGAAAGUUGAAGCAUUUGCAAAUGCACAGAACAUGCUUUAGGAUCGCCUUCUACAGAAACGAUAAAUGUCGCUAAAUUUUGCUUUAAGUUGUUAAGAAGCAGCUAUCAUAUUCCUUGAGAAAAGAUAGAUACACAUACCUGCAGUGCAUGGGGGCCAUCAG
rnacentral:misc_RNA from 1 species